rnacentral:rRNA from 1 species
UAAGACGAACCGUGCGAACGUUAUUCGGAAUCACUGGGCUUAAAGCGCGUGUAGGCGGAUUGGAACGUCGGUGCCUGAAAUCCCCCGGCUCAACCGGGGAACGCGGCCCGAAACGACCAGUCUUGAGGGGUGUAGGGGGAACUGGAACUUCCGGUGGAGCGGUGAAAUGCGUUGAGAUCGGAAGGAACGCCCGUGGCGAAAGCGAGUUCCUGGACGCCUGCUGACGCUGAGACGCGAAAGCUAGGGGAGCGAACGGGAUUAGAUACCCCGGUAGUCCUAGCCGUAAACGAUGAGCACUGGGUAGGGGGUCCGCCCAUGGACUCCCUGCCGCAGGGAAACCGUGAAGUGCUCCGCCUGGGGAGUAUGGUCGCAAGGCUG